ACUUUUAACAACGGAUCUCUUGGUUCUGGCAUCGAUGAAGAACGCAGCGAAUAAGUAAUGUGCAGAAUUCAGUGAAUCAUCGAAUCUUUGAACGCACAUUGCGCCCGCCAGCAUUCUGGCGGGCAUGCCUGUUCGAGCGUCAUUUCAACCCUCAAGCUCUGCUUGGUGUUGGGGCUCUACGGUUGACGUAGGCCCUUAAAGGUAGUGGCGGACCCUCUCGGAGCCUCCUUUGCGUAGUAACAUUUCGUCUCGCAUUGGGAUUCGGAGGGACUCUAGCCGUAAAACCCCCAAUUUUACUAAGGUUGACCUCGGAUCAGGUAGGAAUACCCGCUGAACUUAAGCAUAUCAAUAAGCGGAGGAAAAGAAACCAACAGGGAUUGCCCCAGUAACGGCGAGUGAAGCGGCAACAGCUCAAAUUUGAAAUCUGGCCCUAGGCCCGAGUUGUAAUUUGCAGAGGAUGCUUUUGGCGCGGUGCCUUCCGAGUUCCCUGGAACGGGACGCCAUAGAGGGUGAGAGCCCCGUACGGUUGGACACCAAGUCUUUGUAAAGCUCCUUCGACGAGUCGAGUAGUUUGGGAAUGCUGCUCAAAAUGGGAGGUAUAUUUCUUCUAAAGCUAAAUAUUGGCCAGAGACCGAUAGCGCACAAGUAGAGUGAUCGAAAGAUGAAAAGCACUUUGAAAAGAGGGUUAAACAGCACGUGAAAUUGUUAAAAGGGAAGCGCUUGUGACCAGACUUGCGUCCGGUGAAUCACCCAGCUCUCGCGGCUGGGGCAUUUUGCCGGCUCAGGCCAGCAUCAGCUUGCCGUCGGGGACAAAAGCUUCGGGAACGUAGCUCUCUUCGGGGAGUGUUAUAGCCCGUUGCAUAAUACCCUUCGGUGGGCUGAGGUACGCGCUCCGCAAGGAUGCUGGCGUAAUGGUCAUCAGCGACCCGUCUUGAAACACGGACCAAGGAGUCAACCUUAUGUGCGAGUGUUUGGGUGUUAAACCCCUACGCGUAAUGAAAGUGAACGCAGGUGAGAGCUUCGGCGCAUCAUCGACCGAUCCUGAUGUUCUCGGAUGGAUUUGAGUAAGAGCAUAUAGGGUUGGACCCGAAAGAAGGUGAACUAUGCGUGUAUAGGGUGAAGCCAGAGGAAACUCUGGUGGAGGCUCGCAGCGGUUCUGACGUGCAAAUCGAUCGUCAAAUAUGCGCAUGGGGGCGAAAGACUAAUCGAACCUUCUAGUAGCUGGUUUCCGCCGAAGUUUCCCUCAGGAUAGCAGUGUUGAACUCAGUUUUAUGAGGUAAAGCGAAUGAUUAGGGACUCGGGGGCGCUAUAUUGCCUUCAUCCAUUCUCAAACUUUAAAUAUGUAAGAAGCCCUUGUUACUUAAUUGAACGUGGGCAUUCGAAUGUAUCAACACUAGUGGGCCAUUUUUGGUAAGCAGAACUGGCGAUGCGGGAUGAACCGAACGCGAGGUUAAGGUGCCAGAGUAGACGCUCAUCAGACACCACAAAAGGUGUUAGUACAUCUUGACAGCAGGACGGUGGCCAUGGAAGUCGGAAUCCGCUAAGGACUGUGUAACAACUCACCUGCCGAAUGUACUAGCCCUGAAAAUGGAUGGCGCUCAAGCGUCUCACCCAUACCUCGCCCUCAGUGUAGAAACGAUGCGCUGAGGAGUAGGCGGACGUGGAGGUCAGUGACGAAGCCUAGGGCGUGAGCCCGGGUAGAACGGCCUCUAGUGCAGAUCUUGGUGGUAGUAGCAAAUACUUCAAUGAGAACUUGAAGGACCGAAGUGGGGAAAGGUUCCAUGUGAACAGCGGUUGGACAUGGGUUAGUCGAUCCUAAGCCAUAGGGAAGUUCCGUUUCAAAGGGGCACUUGUGCCCCGUAUGGCGAAAGGGAAGCCGGUCAAUAUUCCGGCACCUGGAUGUGGGUUUUGCGCGGUAACGCAACUGAACGCGGAGACGACGGCGGGGGCCCCGGGCAGAGUUCUCUUUUCUUCUUAACGGUCUAUCACCCUGAAAUCGGUUUGUCCGGAGCUAGGGUUUAACGGCCGGAAGAGCCCAGCACUUCUGUUGGGUCCGGUGCGCUCUCGACGUCCCUUGAAAAUCCGCGGGAAGGAAUAAUUCUCACGCCAGGUCGU
rnacentral:rRNA from 1 species